UUCGAUCGAUGGUGCCAUGCGGUGUCCUUGCCGUGACAGGAGACUGUUCAGAUGCAUCAGAUGGCAUAGGCUCUAAUGGUGUAUAAUAAUAUGUACCCUUGUCAUCGUGCCAUCCAUGAUCGAGGGUCUACAGGGGUGUCCUACGAACUCUUAAUGGCGAUAUGCCGCCAUUGUCGUUGCCUCCGUUCUUGGAGGUGCAUGCAGCAGCACAGGCAAUCUUGGGCGUC
rnacentral:lncRNA from 1 species